UGGCCAGGCGGAGAGGCCGUUGGUCUGGUCACGCUGGGUGGGGCUCGGAUUUGUGUGGUGGUGGCGUGUGUGAGGGGGCAUUCAAGAAAAGAGGCGGAGUCCCACGCUGUGUCUCCUCGUCUGUGUAACAGAGGGAGCAGUAAAAGGAGAAACCUCGGAAACUGCUGAGCAGUGACCAGCCAGCGACCCGGCAACGCGUGGGAGGCCCUGGGACUUGAGGCAGAGGUCGGGGUGGCGGUGCGUCCAGGUGAGAGGAAAGGCGCCUCCUCAGACUGGUCCGAGGGCAGGGGAGGGGCGGGCAGUCCGGGCGCACGAGGCCCCCACUGCUCGUUGCUGACUCCAGUCCCGGACCCUCCGACUCUCCUGAGACUGUCUCCUCUUGUUACCGUGGGAUAAAGACUGUGCCUGCCCCAGGACUGCCAUGAGCAGCCUCUGAGCUAACCGGCAAAAGACACCGAGUGCAGAGCUGGGCACUUAGAGACCGCCAUUCACGGAAGCUCACCUGUUGUGGAAGAAGAGGUUGGUGACGCGCUGGGGUCUUCCUCCCCUACCACCAGGAGUGCCCUCCACCCCCUCUCCCUGUCCUGGCUCCUCCGCCUUUCCUCUCUACCCUGCUUCCCCCACUUCCUCUGUCUGUCGUUUCUCUAGCACACCAGGCUCGUGGUCACCACAGGACCUUUGCACUUGCUGUUUCCUCUGUCUGCAGUUCUGGCCUCCCAGAUGACUGCUAACUGACUCUUGCUUCUUGGGUCUUAGCAUUGAUGUCACCUCCUCUGGGACAGUUUGCCUGACCGCCCCAGUGGACAUAUCCCUGGUGAAGCCACUGUUACCUUUCACUGUUCUAAUUUUCCACACAGCGCUCGAUAGGUGAUGACUUUGUUUACUUGUUUGUUAGGUGUCUUCCUUCUCUCCCCCAGGCUGUGAGCCUCGGGUGGGUGGGCACCUUGUCUGUCUUGCUCUCCACGUCCUCAGUGGCUGGCAGCACGUGGUAGGCGCACCACACAGAGCCCUGCUUUCAUGGAGUUCACAGUUUAAUAAGUGAGGCAGAUUGAACAAGCAAACACAUGUUUUGAUACAUAUUUUUAAUUAUGGUAAGUUGCCCAUAACAGGGAAGUUACUGUGCUAACCACCUGGAGUGUGUGGUUCAGUGGCAUUAAGUACAUCACAUUGCCGUAUGGCCGUCUCCACUGCGCAUGUCCAGAACUCUCUGUUGUCCCGAACCGGUGCUCUGCACCCGUCAGACAGUAGCUCCUCAUUCCCCUCCACCCCCAGCCCCAGGCACCCACCAUGCUACUUGUCUCUGUGAAUUUUUACAUUUUAUUUAUUUAUUUAUAGAGAAAGGGGAAAGGAGGGAGAAAGAGAGGGAGAGAAACAUCAAUGUGUGCUUGCCUCUUGAAUGGCCCCCGCCCCCAGGAACCUGGCCUGCAACCCAGGCAUGUGCCCUGACUGGGACUUGAACCAGAGACCCUUUGGUUCACAGGCUGCUGCUCAAUCCACUGAGCCACACCAGCCAGGGCGUAGAUCUGUUUUUUGAGGAAGCACCAUACUCUUUUCUACAGUGACUGUACCCUUUUACACCAGUAAUGCACAAUUUCUCCACAUCCUUACCAACACUUGUUAUCUUCCGUUUUAUUUUCUUUGUAGUUUUAGAGCAGUCCUCCUAAUGAGUGCAAAGUGCUGUCUCACUGGGGAUUUAAUUUGUGUCUCUCUAACGACCAGGACACGAAUUUUUGAAGAAAACCUGUUUCUGGAGAAUGGAGGACAGGGGGCCUCUUGACUCCGGUAGUCCGGAAGGUCCAGAAGGUGGUCUGGAAGGAGAUGGCAUUUAAACUGAGGCCUGUGAGAAGGGCAGGUGGCUGACAGAGGGUGAUCUGGAGGAGCAACAUUUCAGCAAGAGGGAACACUGAGGGCAGGGCACCUGAAGGGUGAGUGAGAGCUGCCUAUUUUAGCUGGAGAACUAGUGAAGAGUGGCCAGGGGGCUGGUGGCCAGAGGCGUGGCCCAAAGGGUAGGCAGGGCUGGAUGAUCCACGGCUUUUGGCCACAGAAAGGAGUUUGUGUUUGCAAUAUAUCCUGUCUUCAGGUUGUGGGCAUGAGGGGGCAGAGGGAAGACUCAGGGAGUGAGGGAUAGAUGCACAGAAAAACAGCAUGGUAUGUAGCCAUGUGUGCGAGGGACAGUGUGUCCCUACAGGCAACCGGUGUGUUUAGGUGUGUGCAUGUGUGCACAUGGGGACCUGUACUGUGAGUGUGUAUGUGUGUGUGCCUGUAUGGACACCCCCAAAAGCCUCAGAUUGUUAUUUGAUCUCUCUGAGGAACAUGCUGUACCCAUUUCCCACCAGCCCACAAUGGCCACCCAGGCGGGGCAGGUGAAGUGUUGCUUCCUAGGUUCCUACAACAGAUCUGGAACUGGCAAGAAGGAUCUGGAGGCAUGCCUAGGUUCAGGCUGGUCUCUGAGAAAGAUGACCCGUCUUUGAAGGUUUGGAAACAAGGGCUUGCACGUCUAAGACCAGGAGAUGACUCCACACCCUACCUUUGCAAGACCACAGCGACACCUUGGCCACUGGUGAGGGCCCCCACCGGCAAUGGAGGUAUGUGCCCUGACCAGGAGUCAAACCUGUGGCCUUUCGGUUGAGAGGACAGCGUUCCAACUAACUGAGCCACACCGGCCAGGACUGAAAAUUCACCCUUGAGUUGCUGUAGGAGACCCCAGAGACUCUCAGUCCAUUCUCUUGGUCAAGAAAACUCCUCUCUAACCUUUCUGACAGUCAGCUGCCCAUCUUGCUUGCACACCUCAUGUAAAGGGGAGCUCACUACCUUGAAAUGCAGCCUGUUCUGUUGUAGGAUAGCUCCUUCUAGUGAGACCAAACUGGCCUUCCUGUGCUAUCCAGCUGUUGAAACUAGCUCAGAGCACAAAGCAGCUCCUCAGCCUUUUCCACGCAGGCCCCUGCGGGUGGCAGAGAGGGCCGUACCCUCCCAACCCACACCUGCCUUCUCUCCAACAUAAAUGGUCCACCUGGUUCCCCAUAAACAACCUUUCCAGCCCUUCAUCUCCUGAGCAGGGUAUUCUCUGUGGUGGCUAUUUUUGUCUCCUUUUACAGAGAACAUGAAUCUAGCCACCACUCAGAACUUACAACUUAGGCUGAUAUUAUAGUUACUGUAUCACUGUCUCUGGGUCCCCCCUUCAUCCAUUGGUUCAUUUUUGGGGUAUGUUUCAAAGUAAGUUGCCGUUAACAGUGCAGUUCGCCCUCAACCACUUCAGCAUGUAUCUCACUGACUAGAGGUGAAUGUUUGCGUGUGGCCCUUUGCUUUUUUGAGGCAAUAUUUAUACAUAAUGAAAUGCACAAGCUGUCAGUAUACUAUCGGUUGAGUUUUGGUAAGUGUGUAUACUUGUACACGCCAACUCCCAUCAAGCUAUAGAAUGUUUCCAUCACUACAGAAAGUUUCCCAGUCGCCCCUGUCCCCACUGAUUUCUUUCCAUCAUGGUCCAUUCUAGAACUUCAUAAAAACGGAAUCCUGCACCAUCUACUCUUGUUGUGUCUGGUUUAUUUCAUUCACCAUAAUGUUUGGAGAUUCAUUAGUACUUUAUUCCUUUUUACUGCCAAGGAGAAUUCCGUCAUAUGAACGUGUAACAGUUUGUUAAUCCAUUUGCCUCCGGAUGGACACCUUGAGCUGUUUCCCACAGACAGAUAAAUAGAUGGAUGGACGCCCAGCCAGGUCUCCCUGCCCCGAAUGUGUACAGUUGUUUUGUUGGAACCUCAGUGUCAACUUUUCCACUGGUCCUCAUUAAAUUCCAUCUUGUUGGUUUUGACUUAACCCUCCCGCUGGUCCUGAUGUGAUGAGAGUAGCAAACUCACAUACACUCACCAUGUGCCAGACACUGGGCUAACCCGUUCAGACUUCAG